rnacentral:pre_miRNA from 7 species
UGUUGGUAUUGAAAGACCCCCGAAGGGAGACCCUCACUCAAGUCUCGGGAACGUCGCGCACCCAGUGGGACACAGAGACCG